UACCUGCAGCUCGAGUGGUGAUCGUUAUUAUUGGGCCUAAAACGUCCGUAGCCGGUCUUGUAAAUGCCUAGGUAAAUCGUAUGGCUUAACUAUACGAAUUCUGGGUAGACUGUUAGACUUGAGACCGGGAGAAGCUAGAGGUACUCCUGGGGUAGAGGUGAAAUUCUGUAAUCCUAGGGGGACCACCAGUGGCGAAGGCGUCUAGCUAGAACGGGUCUGACGGUGAGGGACGAAGCCCUGGGGCGCAAACGGGAUUAGAUACCCCGGUAGUCCAGGGUGUAAACGCUGCUUGCUUGAUGUUAGUCUGGCUCCGAGCCAGAUUAGUGUCGGAGAGAAGUUGUUAAGCAAGCUGCCUGGGAAGUACGGCCGCAAGACUGAAACUUAAAGGAAUUGGGCGGGGGAGCACAGCAACGGGUGGAGCGUGCGGUUU
rnacentral:rRNA from 1 species